AGAAACCGGAGAACGCCGCAGAUUCCUUGAGCUGCAGAUUCCUUGAGCCGUCUCUCGAUUCUGAAGAAAUCGCAGUUUAGUGGCGCUGGCUUCUUCGAUCCUUUUUCCUUCGCUUCUGGAUCUGCUCCGGGUAGAAUUGCAAUCGAUUCCUGGAAGCCUAUGGGUGGUUGGAGCUCACAGCUCCUCUUGUUAUAUCUGGCUGUUCUUUGCUCUGCGAAUUAUGUUUUAUGUGGGAGUACAAGUCCAUACGUACGUUCAGAAUAUCCAUCUACCGAUAUCCCUCUAGAUAAUGAAGCGUUUGUUAUUCCGGAAGGUUUCAACUCCCCGCAGCAGGUAUAGCCAUGCAAGUGCAAUAACAAUCAUAUUUAUCAACAUACUCAUAUUUUCUUCAUCUUGUUGCUUUUCUGUGGUUUCCAUAUCUGUCCGAUACUCAAUCUUCCUAGUUGUAUUCAGGUUAGUGUGUUUUGUAGAUUUAUAUUCAACUUACAGGAGAUAAAUAUGUCAUGGUAAUAGUAUCACUCUGUGCGUGAUAGAACCGAGAUUGAUGGAAAUAGGGAGCGAGGUAUAUAAUUUUGUGUUGGGGAAGCAUAAUAAGAAUCAUUCACAUAAGUAUGUUUACUAUCUCAUGUGUGGAACAAAAAUGUUAACCUGGAUCUAUAGCAUUUCAAACUAUGCAUUUUGAGCAUGGGAUUUAAAACAGAGAUAGACUACCUUAUUCCACUGUCUUCUUCGAAGGUGGUGGAAAUUGCUUAGAGAUGCUAGAACUACAUUUUCAUGUAAAGCUCAUCUUCCAACAAGGUAAAUUCAUUUCUCUAGCAUAUCAGCAAGAUUUGCCUGCAAAAUCUUGAAAUUUUGUUACACUUCACCCUCUCACACUUAUCCAUUCAGAAACUUUGAUCUUUAUAUUUAUAUGUAUAGUGUUGUCGAGCUCCAUUCUAUUUUAGUUUUCAUAGAAUUGUCUCUCAAUAAAGUGGAAACAUCGCAUUUGAUCUAAUGCGACAUGCAACUGAACUUGUCCAUUAUUCAUUUUUUUCCGAAUUUAGGUGCUACUUGCUAGAUAGUGGCACAAGCAUCAUCCCUGUUUCUAUGCUUUUCUGAACUUGUAGUAUUUUGACGUGCCUUAUGACAUAUAUUUGCACAUCUGAAUUUACAUAAAUAUGAUAUGACUGACUUGGCACAGAAUAUGCUAAUGUUCUAGACAAAUUUCAUUGUCUGCAAAAGGGAGAUGUUUUUAUAUGUUCUGAUUAUUAAUCUGUUCUCCUCCGUGAUGUAGAAUCAAGCAAGAAUGGCAAUUGGCACUUGUCAAUGUCCUUACUGCAAUGACUUGUAAUGGAAUAAUUGUUUGGUCCCUUGCACCUUGUCGUUCAUAUGGGAAUACAUUCCGCUUUGACUUGGAAAAUACAAUUCAGAAACUUCCCAAUAAUAUUUUUGAGAAUAGCUAUCCUAUGAGAGAAUUUGACUUGCAGAAGAGAAUUUACUCUUUCUUCUACAAAGCAGCAGAAUUUUCUUUACUGGGACUAGCUGCAGGGACAAUUCAAGGUGCUAUAACAAAAGAUUUUGCUGCCAAGAAGGAGGGAAGGUUAUCAGUGACAAUUCCUUCUGCAAGUAGCAAUGCUCUUGGUUAUGGUGCUUUUUAGGAUUAUAUGCAAACAUGCGCUAUCAACUUUUAAAUGGGAUUGAUAGAACUAUGCUCAACCACUUCGAUGUUCUUGGAGUUGCAAUCUUCUUUAGUACAAC